rnacentral:rRNA from 1 species
GAUCAUGGCUCAGGACGAACGCUGGCGGCGCGCCUAACACAUGCAAGUCGAACGGGCGAGAGGGAGCUUGCUUUCUCGAGCGAGUGGCGAACGGGUGAGUAACGCGUGAGGAACCUGCCUCAAAGAGGGGGACAACAGUUGGAAACGACUGCUAAUACCGCAUAAGCCCACGGGUCGGCAUCGACCAGAGGGAAAAGGAGCAAUCCGCUUUGAGAUGGCCUCGCGUCCGAUUAGCUAGUUGGUG